rnacentral:rRNA from 1 species
AGUGAACGCUGGCGGCAGGCCUAACACAUGCAAGUCGAGCGGCAGCGCGUCCGACCACCCUCGGGUGGUCGGAUGGCGGCGAGCGGCGGACGGGUGAGGAAUGCAUCGGAAUCUGCCUCGUUGUGGGGGAUAACGUAGGGAAACUUACGCUAAUACCGCAUACGACCUACGGGUGAAAGUGGGGGACCUUCGGGCCUCACGCGAUGAGAUGAGCCGAUGCCGGAUUAGCUAGUUGGCGGGGUAAAGGCCCACCAAGGCGACGAUCCGUAGCUGGUCUGAGAGGAUGAUCAGCCACACUGGAACUGAGACACGGUCCAGACUCCUACGGGAGGCAGCAGUGGGGAAUAUUGGACAAUGGGGGCAACCCUGAUCCAGCCAUGCCGCGUGUGUGAAGAAGGCCUCGGU